GAUGAACGCUAGCGGCAGGCCUAACACAUGCAAGUCGAGGGGUAGAAGCAGCUUGCUGCUUUGAGACCGGCGCACGGGUGCGUAACGCGUAUGCAAUCUACCUUUUACUAAGGAAUAGCCCAGAGAAAUUUGGAUUAAUGCCUUAUGGUAUAUUUGAAUGGCAUCAUUUAAAUAUUAAAGAUUUAUUGGUAAAAGAUGAGCAUGCGUCCCAUUAGUUAGUUGGUAAGGUAACGGCUUACCAAGACGAUGAUGGGUAGGGGUCCUGAGAGGGACAUCGCCCACACUGAUAAUGAGACACGGACCAGACUCCUAGGGGAGGCAGCAGUGAGGAAUAUUGGGCGAUGGAGGCAACUCUGAACCAGCCAUGCCGCGUGCAGGAUGACGGUCCUAUGGAUUGUAAACUGCUUUUGUACAGGAAGAAAAAGAGUUACGUGUAGCUUAUUGACGGUACUGUAAGAAUAAGGAUCGGCUAACUCCGUGCCAGCAGCCGCGGUAA
rnacentral:rRNA from 1 species